AUUGAACGCUGGCGGCAGGCCUAACACAUGCAAGUCGAGCGAGCGGCGGACGGGUGAGUAAUGCCUGGGAAUUGCCCAGUCGAGGGGGAUAAAAGUUGGAAACGACUGCUAAUACCGCAUACGAUUGGAUUGCCCAGGUGGGAUUAGCUAGUUGGUGAGGGAAUGGCUCACCAAGGCGACGAUCCCUAGCUGGUCUGAGGGGAUGAUCAGCAACCCUGGAACUGAGAGACGUUCCAGACUCCGACGGGAGGCAGCAGUGGGGAAUAUUGCACGAUGGGGUAAACCCUGAUGCAGCCAUACCGCGUGUGUGAAGAAGGCAUGCGGGUUGUAGAGCACUUUCAGCGAGGAGGCGUUACUCGCAGAAGAAGCACCGGCUAACUCCGUGCCAGCAGCCGCGGUAAUUC
rnacentral:rRNA from 1 species